GACGAACGCUGGCGGCGUGCCUAAUACAUGCAAGUCGAACGCAUUUUCUUUCACCGUAGCUUGCUACACCGAAAGAAAAUGAGUGGCGAACGGGUGAGUAACACGUGGGUAACCUGCCCAUCAGCGGGGGAUAACACUUGGAAACAGGUGCUAAUACCGCAUAAUUCCAUUUACCGCAUGGUAGAUGGGUGAAAGGCGCUUUUGCGUCACUGAUGGAUGGACCCGCGGUGCAUUAGCUAGUUGGUGGGGUAACGGCCUACCAAGGCUGCGAUGCAUAGCCGACCUGAGAGGGUGAUCGGCCACACUGGGACUGAGACACGGCCCAGACUCCUACGGGAGGCAGCAGUAGGGAAUCUUCGGCAAUGGACGCAAGUCUGACCGAGCAACGCCGCGUGAGUGAAGAAGGGUUUCGGAUUGUAAAACUCUGUUGUUAGAGAAGAACAAGGAUGAGAGUGGAAAGUUCAUCCCUUGACGGUAGCUAACCAGAAAGCCACGGCUAACUACGUG
rnacentral:rRNA from 1 species